GGGGUAACGGCCUACCAAGGCGACGAUACGUAGCCGACCUGAGAGGGUGAUCGGCCACACUGGAACUGAGACACGGUCCAGACUCCUACGGGAGGCAGCAGUAGGGAAUCUUCCGCAAUGGGCGAAAGCCUGACGGAGCAACGCCGCGUGAGUGAUGAAGGUCUUCGGAUCGUAAAGCUCUGUUGUUAGGGAAGAACAAAUGUGUAAGUAACUGUGCACAUCUUGACGGUACCUAACCAGAAAGCCACGGCUAACUACGUGCCAGCAGCCGCGGUAAUACGUAGGUGGCAAGCGUUAUCCGGAAUUAUUGGGCGUAAAGCGCGCGUAGGCGGUUUUUUAAGUCUGAUGUGAAAGCCCACGGCUCAACCGUGGAGGGUCAUUGGAAACUGGAAAACUUGAGUGCAGAAGAGGAAAGUGGAAUUCCAUGUGUAGCGGUGAAAUGCGCAGAGAUAUGGAGGAACACCAGUGGCGAAGGCGGCUUUCUGGUCUGCAACUGACGCUGAUGUGCGAAAGCGUGGGGAUCAAACAGGAUUAGAUACCCUGGUAGUCCACGCCGUAAACGAUGAGUGCUAAGUGUUAGGGGGUUUCCGCCCCUUAGUGCUGCAGCUAACGCAUUAAGCACUCCGCCUGGGGAGUACGGUCGCAAGACUGAAACUCAAAGGAAUUGACGGGGACCCGCACAAGCGGUGGAGCAUGUGGUUUAAUUCGAAGCAACGCGAAGAACCUUACCAAAUCUUGACAUCCUUUGACCGCUCUAGAGAUAGAGUUUUCCUCUUCGGAGGACAAAGUGACAGGUGGUGCAUGGUUGUCGUCAGCUCGUGUCGUGAGAUGUUGGGUUAAGUCCCGCAACGAGCGCAACCCUUGAACUUAGUUGCCAUCAUUCAGUUGGGCACUCUAAGUUGACUGCCGGUGACAAACCGGAGGAAGGUGGGGAUGACGUCAAAUCAUCAUGCCCCUUAUGAUUUGGGCUACACACGUGCUACAAUGGACAAUACAAAGGGCAGCGAAACCGCGAGGUCAAGCAAAUCCCAUAAAGUUGUUCUCAGUUCGGAUUGUAGUCUGCAACUCGACUACAUGAAGCUGGAAUCGCUAGUAAUCGUAGAUCAGCAUGCUACGGUGAAUACGUUCCCGGGUCUUGUACACACCGCCCGUCACACCACGAGAGUUUGUAACACCCGAAGCCGGUGGAGUAACCAUUUUGGAGCUAGCCGUCGAAGGUGGGACAAAUGAUUGGGGUGAAGUCGUAACAAGGUAGCCGUAUCGGAAGGUGCGGCUGGAUCACCUCCUUU
rnacentral:rRNA from 1 species